rnacentral:rRNA from 1 species
GACGAACGCUGGCGGCGUGCCUAAUACAUGCAAGUCGAGCGCAGGAAACUGACGGAACUCUUCGGAGGGAAGGCAGUGGAAUGAGCGGCGGACGGGUGAGUAACACGUAAGGAACCUGCCUCAAGGAUUGGGAUAACUCCGAGAAAUCGGAGCUAAUACCGGAUAGUUCAACGGACCGCAUGGUCCGCUGAUGAAAGGCGCUCCGGCGUCACCUUGAAAUGGCCUUGCGGUGCAUUAGCUAGUUGGUGGGGUAACGGCCCACCAAGGCGACGAUGCAUAGCCGACCUGAGAGGGUGAUCGGCCACACUGGGACUGAGACACGGCCCAGAGUCCUACGGGAGGCAGCAGUAGGGAAUCUUCCACAAUGGACGAAAGUCUGAUGGAGCGACGCCGCGUGAGUGAUGAAGGUUUUCGGAUCGUAAAACUCUGUUGUAAGGGAAGAACACGUACGAGAGGAAAUGCUCGUACCUUGACGGUACCUUACGAGAAAGCCACGGCUAACUACGUGCCAGCAGCCGCGGUAACAC